rnacentral:lncRNA from 10 species
AUAUAAAAAUUAGCCGGGCGUGAUGGCGGGCGCCUCCCCAGCUACUCGGGAGGCUGAGGCAGGAGAAUCGUUUGAACCCGGGAGACGGAGGUUGCAGUGAGUCGAGAUGACGCCACUGCGCUGCAACCUGCGCGACAGAGCGAGACUUCUAAAAAAAAAAAUUCCUUAAGUAAGACAUAGGUCAGUGUGCAGGAAGAAAGGUUGCUUAAAAAGAAAUCUAAAACUGUAAGAAAAAUGAAUGAGUUAAUAAAACCAAAUGUUUAAGAAGACAGGCACUUCCUGGAUACUUUGAAAGGAAAUAAUAGAGAUUUGUGUUCCAUUAACACUGUAUACUCAUCGCCUUGGAACUGUUAUUAGCAGAUCAAUAAAAAA